rnacentral:lncRNA from 1 species
GCGGGGCUGCGCCCACCCUGCCCGGCCGCUCCGGACCUGCGGCUCCUCAGCAUCCCAAAUCCCCCCACUCUAAUUUAUUUAUCUCCCCCCAAAAACAAACAAACAAAAAGUUUAAGAUCCUUUUUCUGUUUAGAAAUUAAUUGGCAAGGAACCGCCUUUCUGGUGCUGGGACAGAGAAAACACUGCGAAAGUCCCCAAGCGGAGCCCCCCGGCGGUCCCUCCCUGCCGGACCCGAGGCCGUACGGGGGCGAUGCCCGCAGCCCGGCCCCAUUUGUCCCGCUGCCCUACAGCCCCGUAGGGAACCGCGGAGGCAAAGCCACGCAAAGUGCUCCCUUCCCCGAAAAGUUGCGGGUGGGACACCGGCAGCGGGCUGGAGGGGGGACGUGGAAACCGGGGGGAGGAGGGGGGGAACUGGAUAAAAUGCCCCUUCGUGUUAUUAUUGCAGGCGCUCCGGGGCUCAGUUUUGUGCGGCAAUGCGAGGAAAGGCCGCCUGGUCUGCAUUUUCCCCCCGAGCUUUGGAGGGCAUUUAACUCCCCGGUACGGCACCGCCUGGGAUCGGUGCACGUCGGUGGACCUGUGGGCAGGACGCGGAGCAGCACUCCAGAAGGCUGGUUUAUAAAAAAGGAGAAGAUAGAGAAUUUCAUCCAAGAAUUCCCAGCUGGAGACAUCUGUUCAGCAGCAAGUCACCUGAUGAACAGUUCUAACCAGCCAAGUGGAAGAACAGUAUCAUCCUUCAGCAAGAAGAUCUGCAUGCUGGAGUCACA